CUUCACUCAAACUCACUACACAUGAUUACUAUUCUGCAAUGUCAAGAGACAUAACUUCAAAGAAUUCCCCCUUUCAUAUCUUCUAAGACAUCUCAGAUCACACAUCAGAGAGUGUCUUUCAAGCCACUUUUAUGAGAAGGAUACAAAUACAAUGAAGAUGAACAAUGGCCACCCUCAAUAUUAUACAGCAAUUUUGGUGACCCUAUACAUCGGCUGAUUUUGAAGAACCAGGCCAGGGAAGAAAACGAGAUAAAAAUGGCAGCCAAAUACAGCAAAGACGGGACAGUUCAGCUCGAGGGUGUGCUCGAUGAAACAUCAAGGUGCUAAUCCAAGUUCCUUUCUCGUCUUUCCCACAAACAAGUCUCCAGAUUUGAUCAAUCCAGGAAUGCAUCCACUAAUUGUAACGAAAGGAAGUUGUGCAACUCCUUCUUUCCUUCCAAGCGAAACAAUUGCGAGCUGAGAACCGGGUUUGUACGUAGCCAACCUGCUCUCGUUUGCUCCCGUUAGCAUCAGUUUCAGGUUCUUGGAAGUUACAUGCGCAUGUCUUUCUGCCAAAUAACCUUGUUUGAUUUCCUGAAGGUCUGUGAUAUCUCCCACUGCAAAGACAUUCUUAAAACCCCUGACCCUCAUGUGCUUGUCAACCAUCAGUCUUCCAUGGAUGUCCAAGCUGUUUUUCAAGAUGGUCUCUUUCAGCCACUGAGAUCCAAUUGGUUUUCCAGUGCACACAAAGUGGCAAUCGGCUGCAAUAGUCUCACCACUCGAAGUUUGAUAUACUCCAUCUGAUAAAGAUUGCAUUGAAAUAGAUUGUUGUAGGAUCACUUCAACUUUCUUUGAUGUUAACCAAUCCAGCGCCUUUUGAGAAGCCUUAACCCCGACAAAUUCCAUUAAUCUCGCCCCUCGGUGUAUUAAUUUCAAAUUUUUCUCUGGAAAAUCAACCGCAAUUUCAGCAGCGAGUUCUACACCAGUAGGACCACCUCCAAUUAUUAAAAUCGUAUUGGCAGAUUUUAUCUUCUCACAUUCUGCUUGGUAUUGACUGAUCCUUUCAGUUCUACUUUUUGGAAUGGUUUCCUUGUGACCGGUGGCAACAACAAGAUAAUCGUAUGGAACUGAAGAGCCUACUGACACGAAAACUUCCUUGUCUGUAAUAUUUGUGGCCGAAGAUGCAAUAAUUCUUGCAUUGGGAAGGUAAUCAGUAUGAUUAAUCACGGAUCUUUCAGCAAAUGAUGGCUCCACCAUUGACCUCAAGCCUGCCCAUGAGAUCUCAAAAUACUCCUUCUGAUCGAUUAGCACGACAUCGGCGACAAAUUGAAGAGAAUAAGCAACAAAUGCACCGCCAAUUCCUCCGCCUACUACCACCACCCUCUUCUUGUCUUCCGCCGCCAUCAUCUGCAGGCCUUUGGUAGAAUUCAAGAGACACAUCUUUGAAGCGAUUUCAGAACGACCUUUUAUAGCUCAAAACUUGAAUAUUAAAAUGGUGAUUAGCGAAUAAAGAUGGGAAUUGUCUAGAGAUCAAGAAAUGGAGGGUUUUCCAGUGGGAAAACCUCGAGAUUCCGG
rnacentral:misc_RNA from 1 species